rnacentral:lncRNA from 1 species
AGUAAAUAAAUAAAAUCAAAGAAGAAGAAAAGAAGAAGAAGGAGGAGGGAGGAGGAGGAGGAGGAGGGUAAGAAGAAGAAGAAAACCGAGCAGCCAUAAAGAGCCCAGAGGUCCCCGGGACCUAGGGAGUCUGGGUGUCCCCAGGGCUCCCCUUCUCCCAGGUCUGGGUUCCAUGGGCCACACUUUCCACACCUUCUGGAAGGAUCUUCACCUCCUGAUGAAUCAUCGUGGGGCUUCUCCCUGUCUGCUAUUUCUGAGUGUUUGUGAACAACACCAUUUCUCAACAGGGCCGAGACCGGGGUGAGGAGAGCGGGCUCCUCCUCCCCCGCGCCCCCCCCCCCCCCCGUGCCAAAUUUAAGUGUGGGGUGGGGGAAGCCAAACUCAGUUAUCGAGAUAAAUAAUAUUUGGAUGUAAUCAUUUCAAAAAACGAAAUUAUGGGGGCACCUGGGUGACUCAGCAGUUGAGCGGCUGCCUUUGGCUCAGGUCAUGACCCCUGGGUCCUGGGAUCGAGUCCCACAUUGGGCUCCCUGCAGGGGGCCUGCUUCUCCCUCUGCCUGUGUCUCUGCCUCUCUCCCUGUGUCUCUCAUGAAUAAAUAAAAUCUUUUAAAAAAAUCAAAAUUAAUGCAAAGUAACCCACAAUGAGGAAAAUGUCAAAAAAAUUUAAAGAUUCGAUUAAAAUAUUAUUUAUUUUGAUGACUGAGGUUUUUCUGGCACCCCCUUAAAUUCUGUUUAGUGAGUACCUUGCUCACCUCCUUCUAAGUCUGUGUCCCAAGGGUCAAGUUGGGGUCUCUAACUGGUGUCGGCCUGGCACUGACUUUAAUUGCUGAGAGCCACUGCAAGGAGGUUGGUCAGGUGGUAACUGGUCUGGGGGCCCAUUUACCUCUUUCAGAAAGUCAUGCAAAGAGAUAGGCAGGGGGCCAAGCCUAUUGUUCCAAAGCUUCCACAGACCUUGACCAGCCCUUGGGCUCUAUGGUCUGCUGAUCAGAGGUGCAAAGGUUUUUGAACAAUCCAAGGCCUUUGAUAUGGUUGCCAACACCCACAUUUUCCAUUCUGGGAACAAUGCCACGGAGGGCUGCAGCCACCCGCCCCCACCCAAGUGAGGAAGUGUCUGCAGGUUACCAGUGGGGACAGGCCCUGUGAGGGCAAGGGUCAGAAGUGUGCUUGUCUUCUUUCUUUUGUUCUCUCUGGCCAAAGCAAUUUUUUUUUUUUUCAGAGAAUGAAAAAAAAGGGGGCACCCGCGUGGCUCAGUGGUUGAGCAUCGGCCUUUGGCUCAGGUCGAGACCCUGGGGUCCCCGAGGGAGCCCCACAGCCGGCUCUCCGCGGGGAGCCCGCUGCUCCCUCAGCCUGUCUCGGCCUGUCUCUGCGUGUUUCUCAUUAAUAAGUGAAUAAAAUCUUUAAAACAUGCAAAAAAGAGUGAGCCACCCCGUUAUAGGGGCAGGGAGACACGGGCCCCAAGUUGCCCUGAUGGCCUCUGGAGCUCUCUCCUGAAACCCAGGGCAUCAAAGUCCCCGACUAGCCCUUCGGGGAUCCGCCGUCUGGGGACACCGCAGCAGGUUAGCUCCGGGCCGAG